rnacentral:rRNA from 1 species
UUUGAAAUCUGGCACCUUCGGUGUCCGAGUUGUAAUUUGAAGAAGGUAACUUUGGAGUUGGCUCUUGUCUAUGUUCCUUGGAACAGGACGUCACAGAGGGUGAGAAUCCCGUGCGAUGAGAUGCCCAAUUCUAUGUAAAGUGCUUUCGAAGAGUCGAGUUGUUUGGGAAUGCAGCUCUAAGUGGGUGGUAAAUUCCAUCUAAAGCUAAAUAUUGGCGAGAGACCGAUAGCGAACAAGUACAGUGAUGGAAAGAUGAAAAGAACUUUGAAAAGAGAGUGAAAAAGUACGUGAAAUUGUUGAAAGGGAAGGGCUUGAGAUCAGACUUGGUAUUUUGCAAGCCUUACCUUCGUGGUGGGGUCCCCUGCAGUUUACUGGGCCAGCAUCGGUUUGGAUGGUAGGAUAAUGACUUGGGAAUGUGACUUUGCUUCGGUAAAGUGUUAUAGCCCUUGUUGAUACUGCCUGUCUAGACCGAGGACUGCGUCUUUGACUAGGAUGCUGGCAUAAUGAUCUUAAGUCGCCCGUCUUGA